rnacentral:rRNA from 1 species
AGGUACGGUAGGUACGGAGUAGUAGAAGUACAGGACGCUUCCUUCGGGAAGCGAGCGUACACAGGUGCUGCAUGGCUGUCGUCAGCUCGUGUCGUGAGAUGUUGGGUUAAGUCCCGCAACGAGCGCAACCCUUGCCUUUAGUUGCCAGCAGUUCGGCUGGGCACUCUAAAGGGACUGCCGGUGUUAAACCGGAGGAAGGUGGGGAUGACGUCAAGUCCUCAUGGCCUUUAUGACCAGGGCUACACACGUACUACAAUGGCCGAUACAAAGGGCAGCGACACUGCGAGGUGAAGCCAAUCCCGUAAAAUCGGUCUCAGUCCGGAUUGGAGUCUGCAACUCGACUCCAUGAAGUUGGAAUCGCUAGUAAUCGUGGAUCAGCAUGCCACGGUGAAUACGUUCCCGGGCCUU